rnacentral:rRNA from 1 species
UACGUAGGGCGCAAGCGUUGUCCGGAAUCAUUGGGCGUAAAGGGCGUGUAGGUGGUUUCGUAAGUCUGGCGUGAAAUAUCUCGGCUUAACCGAGGCAGGUCGUCGGAUACUGCGGAACUAGAGGACGGUAGAGGCGUGUGGAAUUCCGGGUGUAGUGGUGAAAUGCGUAGAGAUCCGGAGGAACACCAGUGGCGAAGGCGACACGCUGGGCCGUACCUGACACUGAUGCGCGACAGCAUGGGGAGCAAACAGG